rnacentral:lncRNA from 1 species
CCAAAUAAUCCACAGAACCAGCGCCAUCGUGCUCCCAAGCAGCAACAGAACCAGCGUCCUCGUGCUCCCAACCCCCAACAGAAUUACGGGAAACCUGCAUCGAAGUAGGGAAUAAAACGAUGCUGACAGCCGCCCAGUGUGUCUUAUAAAUUGAAGCAAAAUCUAUAAUUUACUCUUAAAUACGGAAUGAAGACUAGCAACUAUAUAUCUUAUAAACUAAAACUGAUGCCAGACUGAAGGAAAACUCAUACAGGAAACAUUUACAGAAGCAAUGUACAAAAUGAAAUCAUCAACGCAUUAAAUGUAAGACCUCAUUCCUAGCAGGCGCUAUGCCAAAAAUGAAUUCGAAUAGGUUACAAAAUAUAUUAAAUACAAUUAUUUGAAUGCUUAAAUGCCAGCUGGUUAACCUCAAUAAAUAUCAGGCUUUAAAGCUGACCUUUAAGCUGACAUUUAUGUGUAUAUUUUUUAUAAAUUAUUAUUUAUUGCAGGACCUGUGAGGCACCCAUUUCAUGUCAACACCCACCUGCAGUAUAAUCUGU